AUGGUGAAGUUCUCUAGGGAGUACGACGCCAGCAUCAUCCCGGAGUGGAAGCCCGCCUUCGUCGACUACAAGGGCCUCAAGAAGCUCAUCAAGAAGAUCAAGGUAGCAAGGCGCGACGCCGACGACAGCAGCGCAGGAGACUCCUCGCCGGAGACCGCCGCCGGCGUCGAGAGCGUCGGCUAUGGCGGUGGCUUCUCCAUGCUCGACCCCGUCCGCGCCCUCGCCGCCCGGUUCGCGCCCAGGGUGCAGGCCACCUCGGAGGACGAGGAGAGCGGGGAUUCCGGCGAGUUCGUGCGAUCCACGGACAAGCAUGAGCGGGAGUUUCUGGAGAAGGCGGACGAGGAGCUGGAGAAGGUGAACACCUUCUACGCGGCGCAGGAGGCGGAGCUGCUGGGCCGCGGCGAGGCGCUCAUCGACCAGCUCCGCAUCCUCGCCGACGUCAAGCGCAUCCUGGACGAUCACGCUGCCACCCGCCACGCCCGGGGCUCGCUCCUGGGCCGCAGCCGCUCCAUGCGGGCGGUGGCGCCGCCCUCGCCGGCGCUCAGCAACUCUGGCCGCUACCUCCUCUCGGGCCUCGCCACGCCGCAGUCCAUGUCAGAUGGGAGCGUGGAGCUUCAGCAGGCACAGAUGACGGAGGGCGCAGCGGUGGCCGACGAGGUGAUGGCGGCGCUAGAGCGCAACGGCGUCAGCUUCGUGGGGCUGCCCGGGAAGAAGGAGGGCAGCGGCAGGGGCGGGAGGCUGCAGCUGCCGUCGACGGUGCGCAUCGACAUCCCGGCGAGCAACCCGGGGCGGGCGGCGCUCAAGGUGUGGGAGGAGCUGGUGAACGUGCUGCGCAAGGACGGGGCCGCCGCCUUCGUCCACCGGAAGAAGGUGCAGCACGCCGAGAAGAACAUCCGCGACGCCUUCAUGGCUCUCUACCGCGGCCUCGAGCUGCUCAAGAAGUUCAGUUCUCUGAAUGUAAAGGCGUUCACCAAAAUUCUUAAGAAAUUCGUCAAGGUGUCGGAGCAGCAGCGGGCGACGGACCUUUUCUCGCAGAAGUCGAAGAGAUCGUCGUUCAGCACCUCCAACAAGGUGCUUCAGCUGUCGGACGAGGUGGAGUCACUCUUCCUGAAGAACUUCGCGGGCAACGACAGGAUGGUGGCCAUGAAGUACCUCAACCCACAGCGGCCCAAGAACACCCACAUGAUCACCUUCCUUGUAGGGUUGUUUACGGGCACAUUUGUGAGUUUGUUCAUCAUAUACGCCAUCUUGGCCCAUGUUUCCGGCAUUUUCGCCUCCGCCGGAAACACGGCCUACAUGGAAAUAGUUUACCAUGUCUUCAGUAUGUUUGCGCUCAUCAGCCUGCACUGCUUCCUCUACGGGUGCAACCUGUUCAUGUGGAAGAGCACCAGGAUCAACCAGAACUUCAUAUUCGACUUCGCCCCCAACACCGCUCUCACGCACCGGGACGCCUUCCUCAUGUCCGCCUCCAUCAUGUGCACCGUGGUCACCGCGCUGGUCAUCAACCUCUUCCUCAGGAACGCUGGUGCGUCCUACGCCAAUGCCGUGCCCGGGGGCCUCAUAGUGUUGUCAGCUGGGCUUCUAUUCUGUCCGUUCAACGUGUUCUAUCGGUCGACGCGUUACUGCUUCAUGCGCAUUAUGCGCAACAUCAUAUUCUCGCCAUUCUACAAGGUUCUGAUGGCCGAUUUUUUCAUGGCUGAUCAGUUAACUAGCCAGAUCCCAUUGUUAAGGCACAUGGAGUUUGCAGCGUGUUACUUCAUGGCAGGAAGCUUUAGGGCUAACCCAUAUGAGACUUGUACUAACAGCCAGCAAUACAAACACCUGGCCUAUGCCAUCUCUUUUCUCCCCUACUACUGGAGAGCUAUGCAGUGUUUAAGAAGGUACUUUGAGGAACAUGACAUAAAUCAGCUCGCCAAUGCCGGGAAGUACGUGUCGGCGAUGGUCGCGGCUGCCGUCAGGUUCAAGUACAGUGCAACGCCGACGCCAUUCUGGGUGUGGCUGGUCCUCAUCUCAUCCUCAGGCGCCACCAUUUACCAGCUCUACUGGGACUUUGUCAAGGAUUGGGGCUUUUUCACUCCCAAAUCUAAGAACCUAUGGCUCCGGGACGGUCUCAUCCUGAAGAACAAGUUCACCUACUACAUUUCUAUGAUGCUAAAUCUAGUGCUUCGGCUGGCAUGGACUGAAAGUGUGAUGAAGAUCCGUGUUAGUAAGAACGAGACUCGCCUACUAGAUUUCUCCCUUGCCUCCUUGGAAAUAAUCCGACGAGGACAUUGGAAUUUCUACAGGCUGGAGAACGAACACUUGAACAAUGUUGGCAAGUUCAGAGCAGUGAAGACUGUCCCAUUGCCAUUUCGUGAACUCGAAACGGAUUGA
rnacentral:rRNA from 1 species